AUGUGCUGAUGCUUCUCUUGUCCAGGUUUCACAAUUUGGAAAAAAAUGAAGAUUUUUUCAGCUAAGGUUGAAGAGGGAAGGGAAGGCCUAGAUGAGAAGCCAGCAGUUGGUCCCGUGUAUUGUAAUUUACUCUCCAAGAAUGAGUUUCCUCCACCAGAUCCCAAUAUUAGUACAGCUUGGGAUGUUUUCAGGGCCAGGUGCUAUCAAUUUUAUUCUCGAUCAUGCAGAGGUUGAUUUUGUUUUUGUCCAGGAUAAAAAAGUGAAAGAAG